CCUACGGGAGGCAGCAGUAGGGAAUUUUCGUCAAUGGGCGCAAGCCUGAACGAGCAAUGCCGCGUGAACGAGGAAGGUCCUCGGAUCGUUAAGCUCUGUUGAAGGGGAAAAAGAGCGGAGAGCGGAAAUGCUUUCUGAUUGAUAUUACCCUUCGAGGAAGUCACGGCUAACUACGUGCCAGCAGCCGCGGUAAUACGUAGGUGGCGAGCGUUAUCCGGGAUGAUUGGGCGUGAAGGGUGCGUAGGCGGGCUGCUAAGUCUGGAGGGAAAGGUACCGGCUCAAAGGGGUGAAGUGCAGUUGAUACUGGCUUGCUGGAGUGCGCAUGCCGUGGGAGGAAUGUGUGGUGUAGCGGUGAAAUGCAUAGAUAUCACGCAGAACACCGAUUGCGAAGGCAUCUCACGGGUGCGCGAUUGACGCUGAUGCACGAAAGCGUGGGUAUCAAACAGGAUUAGAUACCCGUGUAGUC
rnacentral:rRNA from 1 species